UUCAGGGUGGCAGACUAAAUGCAUCAGGCUUAAAACUUGGAGAUGGGUUUAACCCCCCCCUGAUA
rnacentral:tRNA from 2 species